GUCCAGUUACAAAAAAGAGGUCUUUUAUUCCCGCGGCGUUUCUACCUUAAUCACUGACAGUUGAUCAGUCGAUUACCACGCUGGAACGGAUAAUACAUUCCUGAUUAAAGACACUUCUUAUGCUUGGAUCAAAAGAAAGACUACAGUGAGGUCCAUGACUCGAAUAAACGUGGAUCCGACGAAAACGUUAUGAUGACCAUAGUGGAAGAAGACAAGGACCAGUUGAAAGAAUAAAAUCCAUGGUCCAGCUCAGCACAAGUACGAAUAAGAAUUUCAAGAUCAACAAGGUCAUCUCAAAAACGUCUGCAAACUCGACCUGCACCAUCCUGACGUGAUUACAACCAGUUUUUUGGACUCGAUUCUUCAGAUUUUUUCUGGAAGUCAAAAUUUAAAAAACGAUACAACAGCCGGAAUCUGGUACCUUAAAUUUUGGUGAAACACAUAUUUUCUUUGCAAAACUGUCACAGUGGCUUGACGCUAGUGACAUUCUUGUGGCUAGCCUAUACAGUUAUAUAUCUACGUUACAGGACGUGCGUACCUAGCAGCCACUUUUUUGUCUUUUUAAACUUUGCCUGGCUUGACCAUCAAAUUUAAUCGUAACGACAAACAAUCAUAAUGCGAUCACGAAAUUAUGAUGAAAGGUGUACCACAUACUCGCUUCUGGAAAGGCUGACCUGAAAUUCGUGAAAAAGAUAUCGCCACGCGUACAGUAUUCACUCUUGUUGGUUACACUUCCAUUUUUAUUCAUCUGUACGGUAAAGCGAGUUCAGUUACAGGAAGUGGAAUGCAUAUGGAUAUACAUACAAUAACGUAAGCUGGUCGAGUAGUAAAAUUGAAGAUGAUUUCACCGUCUGUGAAAAUCCCGUUAUGGUGUAACAGGAAAGAGAAGAGAGUCUAGUUGGUGUCUGGUAAACAUGAAAAUUAUAAAGUUUGAUAAACGUAGCAUAAUUUUAAACAAUUUUUAUAUUAUUAAAUCAGAGUACAGCAAUGGGUAUUAAUACGUUGGAUAAGAAUAACGGUACUUUUGUUAAAUAAAAUUUUUAAUAAACAAUCAUUUUUUUCGAGUAAAUUGCGGGGUCUACGAACUUGAAAAUCCAAAACAGUAUCAUAUACCAAGUAGAAGUGGUUUACUGCGAUGACGUCACUUUACGAGGCUAUUGAAAAAAAAUCAAAGAGAAAGCAGUCAUCUCUGCUGCGAAAUACAGAAUUGUCUUUUUUUCUUCUUCUUCUUCUUCGGGAAGGUCAAUCAUUGUAACAUGAACUUGCUGAGGUCAUAGUUCGAUCUUUAAAAAUUGUCAGAUCAUCAAAUUACAUAUUAAGAAGUAUAGACGUUCCAAUUGUUGUAUCAAUAAUUGUUACUUAAUAAUUCUCUAUUUAAUUCGUACAGAAGUCAAAGACCUUACUGACCUUAUGUACACUCAAUUAAUCCUGCCUUUUCGUAAUCAGUGACAGUGUACGUAUUAUUAUAGAUGUAAUAAAAUAUUCUUGUUGUUUAUAAUAAUUUAUUAAUUCAUAAUAAAAUAUUGUGGAGAGAAAAAAUAUAUUGUGGACCAACAAUUGGAAGAUGGUGGAAUGAAAAUGUUGAUGAUGAGGAUGAGGAUCAGAGUCAAAGAAUUCCUAUGUGAAAGGAGUUGAGAGAAAGCUGUCGUGGCUGCUGGUAGUCAGCACGAUGUUCAACUCCAGAAAGACUGCAAGCUCGUCGAAUAAUUCGAAUAAAUAUCAGGGCACGUAAGACAGUAGUAGUGAUACUGCAUGUAUGUAAAUACAGGUUAUGAAUUUAGGUAAAGAUUCAAAAGAGGAUUAAAAAUUUGAUUGUAUUCCUUAUCUG